rnacentral:rRNA from 1 species
AGUUGGUGAGGUAAUGGCUCACCAAGGCGACGAUCAGUAGCGGGUCUGAGAGGAUGAUCCGCCACACUGGGACUGAGACACGGCCCAGACUCCUACGGGAGGCAGCAGUGGGGAAUUUUGGACAAUGGGGGCAACCCUGAUCCAGCCAUUCCGCGUGAGUGAAGAAGGCCUUCGGGUUGUAAAGCUCUUUCAGCUGGAACGAAACGGUACGCUCUAACAUAGCGUGCUAAUGACGGUACCGGCAGAAGAAGCACCGGCUAACUACGUGCCAGCAGCCGCGGUAAUACGUAGGGUGCGAGCGUUAAUCGGAAUUACUGGGCGUAAAGCGUGCGCAGGCGGAUUGUUAAGCAAGAUGUGAAAUCCCCGGGCUUAACCUGGGAAUGGCAUUUUGAACUGGCAGUCUAGAGUGUGUCAGAGGGGGGUGGAAUUCCACGUGUAGCAGUGAAAUGCGUAGAGAUGUGGAGGAACACCAAUGGCGAAGGCAGCCCCCUGGGAUAACACUGACGCUCAUGUACGAAAGCGUGGGUAGCAAACAGGAUUAGAUACCCUGGUAGUCCACGCCCUAAACGAUGUCAACUGGUUGUUGGGGGAGUGAAAUCCCUUAGUAACGAAGCUAACGCGUGAAGUUGACCGCCUGGGGAGUACGGUCGCAAGAUUAAAACUCAAAGGAAUUGACGGGGACCCGCACAAGCGGUGGAUGAUGUGGAUUAAUUCGAUGCAACGCGAAAAACCUUACCUACCCUUGACAUGUCCAGAAUCCUGCAGAGAUGCGGGAGUGCCCGAAAGGGAAUUGGAACACAGGUGCUGCAUGGCUGUCGUCAGCUCGUGUCGUGAGAUGUUGGGUUAAGUCCCGCAACGAGCGCAACCCUUAUCAUUAGUUGCUACGCAAGGGCACUCUAAUGAGACUGCCGGUGACAAACCGGAGGAAGGUGGGGAUGACGUCAAGUCCUCAUGGCCCUUAUGGGUAGGGCUUCACACGUCAUACAAUGGUCGGUACAGAGGGUUCCAAGCCGCGAGGUGGAGCCAAUCCCAGAAAGCCGAUCGUAGUCCGGAUUGUUCUCUGCAACUCGAGAGCAUGAAGUCGGAAUCGCUAGUAAUCGCGGAUCAGCAUGUCGCGGUGAAUACGUUCCCGGGUCUUGUACACACCGCCCGUCACACCAUGGGAGUGGAAUCUGUCAGAAGUAGGUAGCCUAACCGCAAGGGGGGCGCUUACCACGGUGG